UGGACUAUCGUCUAACGGUAGGGCAACGGAUUUUAACUCCGUCAAUGCUGGUUCGAUUCCAGCUAGUUCAG
rnacentral:tRNA from 1 species